AUUAAACGCUGGCGGCAUGCCUUACACAUGCAAGUCGAACGGCAGCACGGGGGCAACCCUGGUGGCGAGUGGCGGACGGGUGAGUAAAGCAUCGGAACGUAUCCUGGAGUGGGGGGAUAACGUAGCGAAAGUUACGCUAAUACCGCAUAUUCUGUGAGCAGGAAAGCAGGGGAUCGCAAGACCUUGCGCUCUGGGAGCGGCCGAUGUCGGAUUAGCUAGUUGGUGGGGUAAAGGCCUACCAAGGCGACGAUCCGUAGCGGGUCUGAGAGGAUGAUCCGCCACACUGGGACUGAGACACGGCCCAGACUCCUACGGGAGGCAGCAGUGGGGAAUUUUGGACAAUGGGCGCAAGCCUGAUCCAGCCAUGCCGCGUGAGUGAAGAAGGCCU
rnacentral:rRNA from 1 species